rnacentral:rRNA from 1 species
UACGUAGGAUGCAAGCGUUGUCCGGAAUUAUUGGGCGUAAAGAGCGAGCAGGCGGUCUGGAAAGUUGGACGUGAAAUUUUAGGGCUUAACCCUAAAGGGUCGUCCAAAACUCCCAGACUAGAGUGCAGGAGAGGAAAGCGGAAUUCCCGGUGUAGCGGUGAAAUGCGUAGAGAUCGGGAGGAACAUCAGUGGCGAAGGCGGCCAUCUGGGACAACACUGACGCUGAAGCACGAAAGCGUGGGGAGCAAACAGG